CUGUGGGGACACGUAAGGAAAGCGGAAGCCGGGAAUGGAAAGCCCGGUGCAAGCGGGGUACCAGUCACUUUGGCAAAUCCGGGUGGCAAUGGGAAGCCGUGAUGCGGAGCGAAAUAAAGUAGCGAAGUCCGUGAGCCAUGCGUCAAGAAAAGCCGCUAUCGUUUAUACCGUACCCGUACCGUAAACCGACACAGGUGGAUGAGGAGAGAAUCCUAAGGCCGGCGGAAGAAGCAUUGUCAAGGAACUCGGCAAAAUGGCCCCGUAACUUAGGGAUAAGGGGUGCCUGGGAAACCAGGCCGCAGAGAAUAGGCUCAAGCAACUGUUUAGCAAAAACACAGGUCUAUGCGAAACCGAAAGGUGAGGUAUAUGGGCUGACGCCUGCCCGGUGCUGGAAGGUUAAGAGGAGAGGUUAGCGGUAACGCGAAGCUUUGAAUUUAAGCCCCAGUAAACGGCGGCCGUAACAAUAACGGUCCUAAGGUAGCGAAAUUCCUUGUCGGGUAAGUUCCGACCCGCACGAAAGGCGUAAUGAUUUGAGCGCUGUCUCGACAAUGCAUCCGGUGAAAUUGAAGUACCAGUGAAGAUGCUGGUUACCUGCGCCAGGACGGAAAGACCCCAUGGAGCUUUACUCCAGUCUGGUACUGGGACUCGGUAUUGCAUGUACAGGAUAGGUGGGAGGCUAGGAGAUGGUAACGCCAGUUGCCAUGGAGCCGCUGUUGGGAUACCACCCUUGCAGUAUUGGGUUUCUAACCAGCCGCCGUGACCCGGCGGUGGGACAAUGCCAGACGGGGAGUUUGACUGGGGCGGUCGCCUCCGAAAGGGUAUCGGAGGCGCCCAAAGGUUCCCUCAGAAUGGACGGAAACCAUUCGAAGAGUGCAAAGGCAGAAGGGAGCUUGACUGCGACACCGGCGGGUGGAGCAGGUACGAAAGUAGGGCUUAGUGAUCCGGUGGUAUUAAGUGGGAAUGCCAUCGCUCAACGGAUAAAAGCUACCCUGGGAUAACAGGCUUAUCACUCCCAAGAGUUCACAUCGACGGAGAGGUUUGGCACCUCGAUGUCGGCUCAUCGCAUCCUGGGGCUGUAGUAGGUCCCAAGGGUUGGGCUGUUCGCCCAUUAAAGCGGUACGCGAGCUGGGUUCAGAACGUCGUGAGACAGUUCGGUCCCUAUCCGGCGUGGGCGUAGGAUAUCUGAGAGGAGCUGUCCUUAGUACGAGAGGACCGGGAUGGACGGGCCGCUGGUGCAUCGGUUAGACUGCCAAGUCUACGGCCGAGUAGCCAAGCCCGGAAGGGAUAAACGCUGAAGGCAUCUAAGCGUGAAGCCCCCCUUAAGAUGAGAUAUCCCAUUCGAAAGAAGUAAACCCCCUUGAAGACGACGACGUAGAUAGGGCAGAGGUGGAAGUGCAGCAAUGCAUGGAGCUGACUGUUACUAAUCGGGUGAGGGCUUGACCG
rnacentral:rRNA from 1 species